GAUGAACGCUGGCGGCGUGCCUAAUACAUGCAAGUCGAGCGAACGGACGAGAAGCUUGCUUCUCUGAUGUUAGCGGCGGACGGGUGAGUAACACGUGGAUAACCUACCUAUAAGACUGGGAUAACUUCGGGAAACCGGAGCUAAUACCGGCUUAUAUUUUGAACCGCAUGGUUCAAAAGUGAAAGACGGUCUUGCUGUCACUUAUAGAUGGAUCCGCUCUGCAUUAGCUAGUUGGUAAGGUAACGGCUUACCAAGGCAACGAUGCAUAGCCGACCUGAGAGGGUGAUCAGCCACACUGGAACUGAGACACGGUCCAGACUCCUACGGGAGGCAGCAGUAGGGAAUCUUGCGCAAUGGGCGAAAGCCUGACGGAGCAACGCCGCGUGAGUGAUGAAGGUCUUCGGAUCGUAAAACUCUGUUAUUAGGGAAGAACAUAUGUGUAAGUAACUGUGCACAUCUUGACGGUACCUAAUCAGAAAGCCACGGCUAACUACGUG
rnacentral:rRNA from 1 species